rnacentral:rRNA from 1 species
AUGGCGCCGCAGCAAGGGUCGCGUGGCGCCAAGGGCGACGGUGCCGUCGCGGCGGCCAUGGAGAUGGGUGGAGCGGGAAGAGGACGAUCGUCGACGGGGGCGGGGGCGGGGUGGGCCUGGUCGUGGGCGUGCUGCGCCGUGGCGGCCGGCGUGGCGGCGGUGGGGCUGGCGGGGGCCGGCGUGCUGGUGUGGUGGGCGGUGGCGUUCCACCCGGCGCGGGAGCAGCUCUGGAUGGUGCCCGUCGGCCUCGUCCUCCUCGGCACGCCGCUCGUCGCCUGGCUCUCCCUCUUCGCCUCCGGCGCAUGCCGCCGCCUCGGGACCACUACCCACCACCACCACCCGCCUCCGGCCGAGCGAUGA